rnacentral:rRNA from 1 species
ACGGUCCAGACACCUACGGGUGGCAGCAGUCGAGAAUCAUUCACAAUGGGCGCAAGCCUGAUGGUGCGACGCCGCGUGGGGGAUGAAGGGCUUCGGUUCGUAAACCCCUGUCAUCUGUGAGUAAGGCUCCCAAUAAAAGCUUGGGAGAUUGAUAUUAGCAGAAGAGGAAGGGACGGCUAACUCAGUGCCAGCAGCCGCGGUAAUACUGAGGUCCCAAGCGUUGUUCGGAUUUACUGGGCGUAAAGGGUGCGUAGGCGGCUAUAAAAGUUUGGUGUGAAAUCUCCGGGCUCAACCCGGAAACUGCAUUGAAAACUAGAUGGCUAGAGGAUCGGAGAGGAGAUUGGAAUUCUCAGUGUAGCAGUGAAAUGCGUAGAUAUUGAGAGGAACACCAGUUGCGAAGGCGGAUCUCUGGACGGUUCCUGACGCUGAGGCACGAAAGCUGGGGUAGCGAAGAGGAUUAGAUACCCUCGUAGUCCCAGCCGUAAACGGUGCGCACUUGCUGUGGGCGGAUUCGACCCCGUCUGUGGCGAAGCUAACGCGAUAAGUGCGCCGCCUGGGGAGUACGGUCGCAAGAUUAAAACUCAAAGAAAUUGACGGGGGCCUGCACAAGCGGUGGAGUAUGUGGCUUAAUUCGAUGCAACGCGAAGAACCUUACCUGGCCUUGACAUGUAGUGGACCGGGUGCGAAAUCACCCUUUCCUUCGGGACUGCUACACAGGUGCUGCAUGGCUGUCGUCAGCUCGUGUCGUGAGAUGUUGGGUUAAGUCCCGCAACGAGCGCAACCCCCGUGUUCUGUUGCCACCCGGAUGAGAAUCCGGAGCACUCUGGACAGACUGCCUGGUUUCAACCAGGAGGAAGGUGGGGAUGACGUCAAGUCAGUAUGGCCCUUACGGCCAGGGCUGCACACGUACUACAAUGCCUGAUAUAAUGGGAAGCGAGACCGCGAGGUGGAGCAAAUCCUCAAAAUCAGGCCCAGUUCAGAUUGUAGGCUGCAACUCGCCUACAUGAAGGAGGAAUCGCUAGUAAUGCCGUAUCAGCUACGACGGCGUGAAUACGUUCCCAGGCCUUGUACACACCGCCCGUCACAUCAUGAAAGUCGAUUGUACCCGAAGUCGCUGCGUUAACCGCAAGGAGACAGGCGCCGAAGGUAUGGUUGGUAAUUGGGAUGAAGUCGUAACAAGGUAGCCGUAGGGGAACCUGUGGCUG